rnacentral:rRNA from 1 species
GACAGAGGGCCCAAGCGUUGUUCGGAUUCACUGGGCGUAAAGGGUGCGUAGGCGGUCGAAUAAGUCGGUUGUGAAAUCUCCAAGCUCAACUUGGAAAUGGCAACCGAAACUAUCCGGCUAGAGGAAUGGAGGGGAGACUGGAAUUCUCGGUGUAGCAGUGAAAUGCGUAGAUAUCGAGAGGAACACCGGUGGCGAAGGCGAGUCUCUGGGCAUUUCCUGACGCUGAGGUACGAAAGCCAGGGGAGCAAACGGG